UACGUAGGGUGCAAGCGUUGUCCGGAAUUAUUGGGCGUAAAGAGCUCGUAGGCGGUUUGUCGCGUCGAAUGUGAAAACCCGGGGCUCAACUCCGGGCCUGCAUUCGAUACGGGCAGACUAGAGUUCGGUAGGGGGAGACUGGAAUUCCUGGUGUAGCGGUGAAAUGCGCAGAUAUCAGGAGGAACACCGGUGGCGAAGGCGGGUCUCUGGGCCGAUACUGACGCUGAGAAGCGAAAGCAUGGGGAGCGAACAGG
rnacentral:rRNA from 1 species